AAAUUGAAGAGUUUGAUCAUGGCUCAGAUUGAACGCUGGCGGCAGGCCUAACACAUGCAAGUCGAACGGUAACAGGAAGCAGCUUGCUGCUUCGCUGACGAGUGGCGGACGGGUGAGUAAUGUCUGGGAAACUGCCUGAUGGAGGGGGAUAACUACUGGAAACGGUGGCUAAUACCGCAUAACGUCGCAAGACCAAAGAGGGGGACCUUCGGGCCUCUUGCCAUCAGAUGUGCCCAGAUGGGAUUAGCUUGUUGGUGAGGUAACGGCUCACCAAGGCGACGAUCCCUAGCUGGUCUGAGAGGAUGACCAGCCACACUGGAACUGAGACACGGUCCAGACUCCUACGGGAGGCAGCAGUGGGGAAUAUUGCACAAUGGGCGCAAGCCUGAUGCAGCCAUGCCGCGUGUAUGAAGAAGGCCUUCGGGUUGUAAAGUACUUUCAGCGGGGAGGAAGGUGU
rnacentral:rRNA from 2 species